UGGAGAGUUUGAUCCUGGCUCAGGACGAACGCUGGCGGCGUGCUUAACACAUGCAAGUCGAACGGUAAGGCCCUUCGGGGUACACGAGUGGCGAACGGGUGAGUAACACGUGGGUGAUCUGCCCUGCACUUUGGGAUAAGCCUGGGAAACUGGGUCUAAUACCGGAUAGGACCACGGCCUUCAUGGGUUGUGGUGGAAAGCUUUUGCGGUGUGGGAUGGGCCCGCGGCCUAUCAGCUUGUUGGUGGGGUAAUGGCCUACCAAGGCGACGACGGGUAGCCGGCCUGAGAGGGUGUCCGGCCACACUGGGACUGAGAUACGGCCCAGACUCCUACGGGAGGCAGCAGUGGGGAAUAUUGCACAAUGGGCGCAAGCCUGAUGCAGCGACGCCGCGUGAGGGAUGACGGCCUUCGGGUUGUAAACCUCUUUCAGUAGGGACGAAGCGCAAGUGACGGUACCUAUAGAAGAAGCACCGGCCAACUACGUGCCAGCAGCCGCGGUA
rnacentral:rRNA from 1 species